GAUCCUGGCUCAGGAUGAACGCUAGCUACAGGCUUAACACAUGCAAGUCGAGGGGGCAUCAGGAAGAAAGCUUGCUUUUCUUUGCUGGCGACCGGCGCACGGGUGAGUAACACGUAUCCAACCUACCCUUUACUCGGGGAUAGGCCUUUCGAAAGAAAGAUUAAUACCCGAUGGCAUAAUGAUUCCGCAUGGUUUCAUUAUUAAAGGAUUCCGGUAAAGGAUGGGGAUGCGUUCCAUUAGGGUUGUUGGUGAGGUAACGG
rnacentral:rRNA from 1 species